CUCCAAAGAAAGAAACACUGCAGGCUAACCAGGAUGAUGCUGGUAGCCGAGAAGCACACCCAAGCCCCUAUUAUAAGCUGGAUCCAGGAGACAUUUCAUGUAUCCUGUAAUGAUAUUCCAAGAGGCUGACGUGGUUAUUUCCACCCCAAGUGCUUGGCCCCACUCUCCAGCUCUGGGCUCCGUAACCCAUGGCAACAAGAGAAGGGAAGCAGAGUGAAGAAUGGAAACGAGAUUCAAGACAUCUUUCAAAGAUGAAGCUGACAUUGAUUUGAAGCAGAAGUUUUGGUGGGAUGCCCUCACCUAUAUGGACAACUGGCUUGUUUCAGGUGGGGCUUUUCUGGAAGGUGACCAGAAGCCCAGAACACUUAAAAUCAUGGGUCAUCUCAGAAGACUGAGUGAAGACUUAGGGUCCCUCCUUUCUCUCUUCUAAACUACUGAUUUAAAAAUAAACCUUUGGAGAACUAUACUUUCAUUAGGUGGGACACAGCCCUGUCUGAGGCACUGUACAUGGAUUACACAUUUAAUACACACAACACUCCAACAGUGGACACCACAAUGCCCUUAUCUAGGUGGGGAUAUUACAGGAGAGGUAAAAGCGUGUAACUUACCUAAGGGUUCACAGCUGAUAAAGUGGUAGAACUGAGAUGGAAUUCAUACAUGCCCAUUUGACUUCAAAAACUGUUUUAAAUUGUCUACAUUACAACAUGCAUUAAGAUAUAUGAACCACCUGGGCUUCUCAAGUUCAACUGAUUUUGGCCUACAAAAUGGCAGUUUCAUAUGGUUCAACCAAAUACUUCAUUUGACACAUAGCAUAUAUUUCAUUUGACCUAUGGCCUUGAUCUAAACAUUUGGUAUAGAUACUAUAACGUUAUCCAAACAGGAAUGCAAGUAAAUGUGAUGGGAUUUGCAUUUCAAUUCUUCUCAUUUUUCUGCUACAGACUCCUAAAGGACCUGACUAAUCAUACCUCAAUGAUUCAUGUAUUACUUGAUGUUUCUCUAAUGAUUUUGAAAUUAAUCUUUGUAUUUUUUUUAUCAGUUUUAUUGUAUUCUGACCAACUGAGCUUAUAAUUGUGUUUCCCUCUCGUUGGCUGCUGAACUUCACACAUUUUGUAAUUAUGACUUUUACAUUUUUUAGUUUGUUCUAUGCUCAGUAGGUUGCUGGACUAAUUGUUGUUCUUUGUACCUUCCAAACAAGAAUAUAAUUAAAAAAAUAAAUUAUAUGAAACUAUAUUAGGUUAUCUGAGGUCUAGGAAAUAUUCUCAGUGAGUACAAACCCGGCCAGAGUUAUAUGUACCUAAGAUGCACUUUAAUAGACAUUUUAUUUAAAAAACUCGUUAGGAUGGCAUGAGAAGGUAUAUUUACAUUUACACGUACACCUGAAGGGAUGAGUGUUUGAAAAUAUAAACAAUUUGCAUAGUAAUGUUUAUUAUCUAUGUUUCAAAUUUACACUUAAUUAAUAUGUGGGUUUCAUUAGCUUUUUCCACCUGCAUAAUUCAGUAUCUUUAUCUUUCACUAUGACCAGGUAGACUUUUUUCGAGGAAGUUCACCAUCCCUCUGCCCCCAGGUUUUUAUCUCCAGU